UACGAAGGGGGCUAGCGUUGCUCGGAAUUACUGGGCGUAAAGGGAGCGUAGGCGGACUGUUUAGUCAGAGGUGAAAGCCCAGGGCUCAACCUUGGAAUUGCCUUUGAUACUGGCAGUCUUGAGUACGGAAGAGGUAUGUGGAACUCCGAGUGUAGAGGUGAAAUUCGUAGAUAUUCAGAAGAACACCAGUGGCGAAGGCGACAUACUGGUCCGUUACUGACGCUGAGGCUCGAAAGCGUGGGGAGCAAACAGG
rnacentral:rRNA from 1 species